GUGGCGAACGGGUGAGUAACACGUGAGCAAUCUGCCCUUGACUCUGGGAUAACUGCGGGAAACUGUAGCUAAUACCGGAUACUUUCCUCGCUGGGCAUCCAGCGGGGAAGAAAGAAUUUCGGUCAAGGAUGAGCUCGCGGCCUGUCAGCUAGUUGGUGAGGUAAUGGCUCACCAAGGCGACGACGGGUAGCCGGCCUGAGAGGGUGACCGGCCACACUGGAACUGAGACACGGUCCAGACUCCUACGGGAGGCAGCAGUGGGGAAUAUUGCACAAUGGGCGAAAGCCUGAUGCAGCAACGCCGCGUGAGGGAUGAAGGCCUUCGGGUUGUAAACCUCUUUUAGCAGGGAAGAAGCGAAAGUGACGGUACCUGCAGAAAAAGCACCGGCUAACUACGUACCAGCAGCCGCGGUAAUACGUAGGGUGCAAGCGUUGUCCGGAAUUAUUGGGCGUAAAGAGCUCGUAGGCGGUUUGUCACGUCUGCUGUGAAAAUCCGAGGCUUAACCUCGGACUUGCAGUGGGUACGGGCAGGCUAGAGUGCGGUAGGGGAGAAGGGAAUUCCUGGUGUAGCGGUGGAAUGCGCAGAUAUCAGGAGGAACACCAAUGGCGAAGGCACUUCUCUGGGCCGUAACUGACGCUGAGGAACGAAAGCGUGGGGAGCGAACAGGAUUAGAUACCCUGGUAGUCCAC
rnacentral:rRNA from 1 species